ensembl:lncRNA SNHG14 small nucleolar RNA host gene 14
AGAACGGAAGUGAUUUUGGAAUUGCAUGGAAUUCUCACUGCCAUCCCAAAGAAAUGCUGAUCUUGUCACUCUUACCUGUUUCAUUCCCUGGGGGCAGAACAAAAGGACGCACUCCAAAGAUCGGCAUGAACCAAGAACUGGGUUUCAUAUAAAAUAUUUUAUUCUGUCCUCUUGAGAUGUGACAUGAGAAAAGUAUUGAGAAUACUUCUAUCACCUCAUCUUCAAGAAUCCGUAGGAAUUCUCCCAUGGUGGACUUUACGGUUAACCUGAACAGGUCUUGGAAAAAGGACUUUAAACAUUCUCCUGUUCUGUGGAAUAAGUAUACUUUUUUCUGGACAUACACCUUGUCAGUGAGUUCCAUGUGAUACUAGAGUUGCAUAGAUUUUUAACCUUUACGCCAAUGAAGAUCUGAGGCAAACAUUGCCCCUUUUUUAGAAGUUUGCAUUUGUCACUGAUAACUGUAAUAAUUGAUCUUGUUGAAAAGCCUGGGAAAUGAAGAUCUGAUAUGUCACUUUUACCGGCUUCCUCAACUGAAAAAGAAUACAAUGAAACACGCUGAGAAUUUUUGUGCUUUCUCAGUCUUGCUGAUGAUCUUUCUAUGGGCCUGAAGCGUGGAGAGUGCCAGAGAGGCUGAUCCUCAGCAGUGUGGCAGAGGAAAGUUGGGUGCGACUAAGGGGUAUGCGGUGCCCACAUGCCACUGGGUCCUCAGCAGUACCACCUGAUUGGAAGUGAUAUUGGUGGAAGACAACAUUUUGCCGCUUGGAAUUCUCACCUCCACACCAAAGAAGUACUGUUUUUGUCAUUUGCACCAGCUUCUUUCUCCAGGAAAGAUCAAAACGAUGCACUGCAAGUGUGAUUGGUCCAGAUAGCUGCCUUAUCCAACUGCCUCCUUUGGACCACUUCAUCAUGGGACAGCUUGAUGCAAUCUACUUGACAAGACCCUGGAACCCCACACCCCUCAUGGAACCAGUGUCCACCUCCCAGUCACAGUGUGACCCCAGGGAACUCUUGCCUGCUUGCUUUAAACCCACCACUUAAAAGUCUCCACAGAAAACCUGUUUGAAUAGUACCCUUGACCCAAUAAGGGCAUUGGCCCCUGGGUGUCUCUCUCUCUCUCUCUCUCUCUCUCUCCCUCUCUCUCCCUCUCUCUCUCUCGCUCCCUGACCUCUGCGUGUGGACUCCAGGCAUGCCAUAUACCCCUCAGGACCUGAAGCAAAAGAAUGAAUUAAAGAAAACUCCAGAGAAUGAGCUGACAACCUACUCCCUGGUCAGUGGCUCUCCAUGCCUACCUGUGGUCUCUUGGACACCCUUGCAGAAGAUGACUUCCUGGGAACUCUUCUGGGAGUGAAUGUUAUCAGCAAAUUCCCAAAACAACACCCCUUAGACAAAAAGCCUCCUCACCUAUGCAUUGCCUAGACCACCCACUAAAGGUGAUGGCCACAAAGAGGUGGAUUUGUUGAGUUGGUGCCAUUCCUUCUACUGCCAGCUUCACCAAAACAAUGACACAGUCUUCCUUCCGCAUGGAGACUCUUCUCUUUCCUGUGUUGCAGUGGAUGCCUCCUGCAGAUAAGAAAUGCUUAACUGAGAAAUGCUCAUGUUGGGAUAUCAUCGAUGAGACUUUAAUUUGGGCAUGGUGACUGUUUCCCUUGCUGCCACUUGACUCAAUCCCAGGAGCCUCAGUAGAGGAUAUAAUAUUACACAAGAUGCUCAAAAUGGUGGAAUUGCUCAGUGCUCCCAUAAAUAUACAUUUAUAAUUUUCAUUUGCCACAUGGUAAACUGAAAAAUACAGACUAUAUUAAAAAGAAACUGCAUGAUUUUUUUUCAAAAAUUCAAAGCAUAUUUAAAUAAUAUAUAAAUUAAAUGCCCUCCUCUCUUCCAAUUCUGUCCCUAUAGUUUUCCUCUAUUAAGUGAACUACAUGCAUUCUUUUAGUGGAUAGAUGCACACAAACACACAAGCCAUUAUGGGGAAGGAUCCACGUGUGUGGCCAUAUUGUAACACAUUUUUCUGCAAAUCACCUCUUUCAUUUAACAGCCCUUAUUCAAUGGCCUUUUUCUUUUUCAGUAGUACAUACACAUCUGUGUCAUUUGUUGAAUGACGACAUGAAUGUUUUGUAGAUAAAAUAUAAUUAAAUGUUUUAAGCAUUUCUCACUCAUAGAUAUUUAUGUUAGCACCAAAUUUCUGUGCAAUGAACCUCCCUAUAUAUCAGUAAUUUUGCAUUUGUCUAUAAUAUCAUAAUAAAUUACUUAUCAGUUGAA